rnacentral:misc_RNA from 1 species
UCUCCGUAGGUGAACCUGCGGAAGGAUCAUUCAUAAUAAGUGUUUUAUGGCACUUUUUUAAAUCCAUAUCCACCUUGUGUGCAAUGUCAGGGUUGAUUUUUCUCUCGAGAAGAUCAGCCCCAAACAUCAACUAUAUCUCAACUCUUUGUCUGAAAAAUAUUAUGAAUAAAACAAUUCAAAAUACAACUUUCAACAACGGAUCUCUUGGCUCUC